ensembl:lncRNA
GGAAAUGUAGUUCUAAAGCUACCGUUGCCGAGAGUGGGUCGUCUCACCUCAGCCUGAGUGAAGAAAAAGGGUAAGAUGGUGGCAGCCACCAGGGGCAGCAGAGGGUCGGGGUGAGAUGCUUGGUCUGUGGAGCACUUCGGCGGUCCCCGGCUUAAGGCUGGGGAAGUGGAGAAUGUUCGAAGAUUUUCAGGGACCGAUGAGGAAACCGAGGCUCAUUAUUAAUUGUGCUGCAAAUUUUAUCUGGGGUGGAGAGGCGUCAUUUGGCUUGGUUCCUUCGUGAAGUCUAGGGAGACUCCCAGAAAAUCGACCGAGGCUUUUAAGACGGGGCGAGAGCGGGUGCAGGCGGCAGGGGGCGCUCGAGAGCCGCUGGGGCGACCGUCAGCAGCAGCAGGUAUUCUCCUGCCUGUGGCACUAUGAAAACAGCAGUGAGGAAUAGCCAGUAUAACUUGGGAGAUAACAAUCAUUUUAAUGGGGGCAUCUAGUGUGAGGAUUAGGAGAAAGAGAGGCGCUCAGGGAGAAUGCAUUAUCCCAGUGUGGGAAUGGACCCAAGGGAGAGUUGCAAUUAGCCUUAGCGUUAGCCUUGUAUACUAUUCUGGUAGCAUCCGAGUUGCAUCUUAAAAGGUUGCUAGGCGACAUCCCCUUCCCGGCUUUCUUGCUAUCUUGAGACUUGACAGAAUUCCUGAAUGAGGGACCCCUUCCCCCUUCACGGCCGUUGUUUUCUUAGCCUCUCGAUCCUGCGUCGUUCGUUUGGAGUAUCAUUUUGCACGAAGCAUCUUGGCUCCGUUUUUAAAUCAUAGGAAACGUCAAGGUAGGGCCAGAACUUACACCCAUUUAGAGGCCAAGUUUAAAUUUGCAAGACCGAGAGACUUUUAUAGAUGACCCUAACCCCAUUCUCCUCCAUCGGGACUCUGGAGCAUUUAACCUGUAUCAUCUUUCAAAUGUGGAAUUCUGUUACAGACACAUACUCUUAAUGACCAUAUCCGCAUAUAUUUCUCUCCUUUAUUUUGAUUGUGAGUACUCCAGUAGCAGGGGGCCUCUCUUAAUAUUUUCUUUUUUAAUUCCCUCACAGUUCUGAGCUUAGUGCUUGGCUGUGUCCUGUCACAGAACGUUCCGAGGAAAUAAUCAUUAAUGUAUUCAGGAAGCUCACAGGCCCUUGAAUUUUCUAUCUUACCCUUGAAAACAGAUUAUUUUGUCGAAUACUGACAGGAAGAAUGUGUUUUCUCCCAGCACGCUAAGUUCUUGCGUGUGAGACUUGCAGAGGGAAUUCUGAAGAAUCUGCCUAAAGCCGCUUGCGAAACUUGUAUUCUGCAGACACGAUAAUAACAGUAGUCGAUACUUUAUGGGCUGUUCACUGUUUCCGUCCCUUUAAUCCUCCCUAUGAAGCCCCGUGACUAUCCCGUCUGACAGAGGGUGCUGUUUAAAGUCACCCCGGUAUUUUGCAGACUCCGUUUCAUCUUAACCUACAGAGUUUGUGCUUUUACCAUUCAGCUGCUACGUGUGCCGAGUGAAUUGAUCUACUACGUGUAAGAACUCCUCUUCUCAGCGGGGAAAGUAAAACAGAGGAGGGUUUGUGUGUCUUUAAAAAUGUAUUGUGUGGGGGCUGGGGAUUUAGCUCAGUGGUAGAGCGCUUACCUAGGAAGCGCAAGGCCCUGGGUUCGGUCCCCAGCUCUGAAAAAAAGAACCAAAAAAAAAAAAAUGUAUUGUGUGGGGGUAGGAAUGUGUGUGCAAGUGCACAUGUGUGAGCAUGUGGGUGCACGUGGAGGUCAGACAUCAAUUUGUAGUGUCUUUCCCAGUCACUCUCCACUUGAGGCUUUCAGUCAAAAGUCUCUCACUAAGCCUAGAGCUUGCUGAUUAGCUCUGCUGACUGGCCAGGGAGCUCCAGGCAUCCUUCUGUCUCUGCUUUCCCGGAGCCCAGACUACAGACCCUGUUCCCACCUCCUUCUGGUGCUCUGUCUGUCUGUUUACUUACUCUGUGUGUGGGGGGGGGGGAGGGCUUGCCUGCAUGUACGACUGUGCACUUGGUGCCUGCGGAGGCCAGAAGAGGGUGUCAGAUUACCCCUGGAACUAGGAUCACAGUCGUUAGGUGCCGUUUGGUGUCUGAGACUAGGACCUGAACCCUAUAGAAGAGCAAAUGCUCUCAGCCACUGAGCCUCUACAUCUAGCUUCUUCUAUGAGUGCUACGGAUCUGGCCUAGUGUCCCCUUCUUGUGCAACGGCUGCUUUACCAACCCAACCGAGCCAUGUCCCCAGCUGCAGUGUUCUGUCUUUGCAGAGGUGGUUGGAGACUAAUAAGAAACGUUGACACAAGGACAUCGGCCACCCGCUUUGUUGGUUUGAGCCACACGGUGGCAGAGUGAGUUGAGAACAAGCAUCUGCUGGAGCCACUUGGUGUCUGGCUUUGGGAUCCUCCCGCUCUCUCAGGGCUGCAGGCUAAUUGCCACCCAGUGUGCAGACAGGCCUAGCACCUCACUCUGCCUGCGGGUCUCUGUGGGUUUCAUACCUGACAGGGCACAGUUUCUCCUACACAACUCAGUUAUAUAUUGUGGAACCGACACAGACACACAAGGGUACCCGCAGUCCGCUAGGCAGUGGCCAAGAGGCUGGAGCAAACUCCAAAGGCCUUGCGCCUGAGCGUACAUGAGAGGCAACCGUGUAGGCAGUCCAGAAGUCACUGGAGAAACUUCAAAGACUGCAUCAGGAUUCCUGAAUGACCAGCCAAGGACAGAGCUGCUCAGCACGGAGAGCUAAUGUUACUGUGAUUUCAUUCACACCCGGUGCGGCUGAGUCUCCUGUACUCCCUUAGCCAUGCUACAAGAUCUACAAGUGCAGAUUACCGCUAUCUCAUGAAGUGCCACGGCCUAGUGCUAAGUGUCAGAGCAGGCAGGCUGACUCUCACCCCAGGGCCGUGAGACCCAACCUCGGAGUGCACAGGGGGAAUUUAGUCAGCCAGCCUGCCAGGCUGGGGAAGUCACUGACAGGAUUUGAGAAAGAUGUGGUUUAUGAAACCCACAGCAAGAAAGCCGUCUAUACAGUAUUGGUGUUCCCUUCUUCACUGCAAAGGGAACCUUGGAUUUUAUUAACAAGAUCAGGAAGGAGGGCUGGUGAAACCUCCAAGACGCUGGCUGCUUACGCUUGGAGCAUCUGCAUCCGUGGUUUCACAGGAAGUGUGUCUGUACGCGGGCAUGUCGGUGGCCGGCCUGGAAAGUGGUUCUCCCUCCAUCUUGUCUCCGAUUCUGGCCAAGUUUGGGGAAUUCUUCUUGCCUUUAAAAACAACAGCCUCUCUCCUGGCUCUGGGACACUGUAGAGGCGUGAUGCUUUGACUUGUGCAGCCGUCUGGAAUCUGUGAGGCUCCCUUCAGGGCAAGAGCCAAAUCCCUGUGAAGAUGGACUGGAAAGAAGAAAGGAGUCUUGGAGGCUGCUGGUCAACUGCUGGAGAGAGCCAGCCCUGAAACCCUUGGCUUUCACCUCUCCUUGGUUUAAAGAUACACUUCCUUGUUUACUCUUUCUGUAUGCGGGAUGUGCCUUAAAAGUCUCAGUGAAAGACAGAGUAUGAGAUAUAAGAAAGAAGCGUCCUUGUUUAAGUGUCAAGCUGUGGGUCCUGUUCAGAGUUCUGGUUCUAGUCAACCUAAGUGAUACCCACAUUUCCUGUUUCCUCAUGAAGGAAACCUUGUAAGCCGGCUGUGCUGGCACACACCUUUAUUCCCAGCACUUGGGAGGCAGAGACAGGCAGAUCUCUGAGUUCGAGGCCAGCCUGGUCCAGUCCACAGAGUGACCAGGAUAGCCUGGGCUACACAAAGAAACCCUAUCUCAGAUAAAAACGAGGAGGGGGAGGGGGAGGGAAGGAAGGAAGGAAGGAAGGAAGGAAGGAAGGAAGGAAGGAAGGAAGAAAGGAAGGAAGGAAGGAAGGAAGAAAAAAAGAAUCCCUUAGAAGAAGCCGGGCAUGGUGGCACAAACCUUUAAUCUCAGCAUUCAGAAGGCAGAGGCAGAUGGAUCUCUGUGAGUUUAAGGCCAGCCUGGACUACAUAGCGAGUUCUGGGCCAGCUAGAACUUCACGAUAAGUUUCUGUCUCAAAGCUGGAGAGAUGGCUCCAACGGUUAAGAGCACUGACUGCUCUUCCAGAGGUCCUGAGUUCAGUUCCCAACAACCACAUGGUGGGAUCCGAUGCCCUCUUCUGGUGUGUCUGAAGGCAGCUACAGUGUACUCAUAUAAAUAAAAUAAAUCGAUUUUUUAAAAAAAAGUUUCUGUUGAGAAAACAAAACACACGCACAGGAAGAAAAGCCAUGCCUUCAGCCACCUUAUCUGCAAAGCCACUUCCUCUAAUAAAAUUGCCACUUAAAAUCUGAUUUUUAAAAAUAAACAAGUUUGAGGAAUAUGCAGUGUUGUCUGGCCCUCAGCUGUUAUUUCCUGGAUGUCUCGGCAUUCCCGGAAAUUCCUGCCUUUUAGUGUUGCGUAAGCUUUGCUCCUCGUGUCUGUUCCCUUUGCUUUGGCUUCCUUUACCCUCACCCUUGCCUCUUCUUGGCACAUUCCAGCUCAUCUCAAACACCUCUCUGUGCGCUCGGCUGGGCUGCCACGCUGCACUGCGGUACCCUGGGGUUUCCUUGUGACACCUUUAGCAAGCACACGCUCUGUUAUACGGACCAGGCUGGAGGAAACCCCAGCUCACUUGAAUGCAGCUUGAACUACUUUGGACAGACCGCUUCACCUCCUCUCCGUUUUUUGUUUUUCGUUUUCUUUUCAAGACAGGCUCUCACUAUGUAGCUCCGCUUGUCCCAGAACUCCUGGAACUCACAGAACUCUGCCUGCCUCUCCCUCCCAAGUGCUGGGAUCAAAGACAUGCACCACUAAACCCAGCUUCAAAUCUUCACUUUGACAGUGAGGGAGAAGGAUGAUAAUUUGAGCCUUACAGGACUGCUUUAAGACUGUAUCUCGGGGCUGGGGAUUUAGCUCAGUGGUAGAGGGCUUACCUAGGAAGCGCAAGGCCCUGGGUUCGGUCCCCAGCUCCGAAAAAAAGAAACAAAAAAAAAAAAAAAAAAAGACUGUAUCUCUAGGGCUGGAGAGAUGGCUCAGCGGUUAAGAGCACUGAGUAUUCUUCCAGAGGUCCUGAGUUCAAAUCCCAGCAAUCACAUGGUGGCUCAGAACCAUCUGUAAUGGGAUCCAAUGCCCUCUUCUGGUGUGUCUGAAGACAGCAACAGUGUACUCAUAUACAUGAAAUAAACAUUAAAAAAAAAAAAAAAAAAAGACUGUAUCUCUAAAAGCACUUGCAUACUGCCUGGCACAGAGUUAAGGGCACACACACGGGAACUCUGGAAGCUUCCGUUUCUUC